rnacentral:sRNA from 1 species
CAAUUGGUCAAUCAUGGAACAAUUUUGUUUCUUUUUAAUUUUUGGUUUUUGGAAGGAGUAAAAUAAGGUAUUUUUUCUCUAUUUUAGCCACAGUGCGCCGUGCAAUGUCUAAUUUUUGCUCAAAUCUGUUCUUUUUAUUCAGUACUUUAUGUUAGCGACUUAGCAUUGAUAUGUGGGAUUCAUUGUAGUAUGAACUGUUUACUCUCUAACUGGUAGAAACACGAAAAAAGGGCAUUAAAAUGCCAACUUGACAUCGAAAUAGUCAUGUUCUAUUUUCCCGUCAUGCAUUGACUUCCCACAUUGCAAUGAACCGGAAGUUUUUUCGAAGUAUUAGUGUUUUGCCAUUUAUGUACAUUGUAGUUUUUUUGGGUCACCUGUGGCCCCGUUAUGUAAAUUAUAUCAUACAUGUCUUUACAUGGAAUAAAUGACCAACGUC